rnacentral:rRNA from 1 species
GAUGAACGCUGGCGGCGUGCCUAAUACAUGCAAGUCGAGCGAACAGACGAGGAGCUUGCUCCUCUGACGUUAGCGGCGGACGGGUGAGUAACACGUGGAUAACCUACCUAUAAGACUGGGAUAACUUCGGAAAGCUGAAUUAAUCACGGGAAAUGAGGUUGAACGCCGGGGUCCAAAAGGAAAGGCGGUUUUGGUGCCGCCUAUGGCGGGAUCCCCGCCGGAUUAGCUAGUUGGUUAGGUAACGGCUUACCAAGGCAACGAUGCGUAGCCGAACUGAGAGGGUGAUCGGCCACACUGGAACUGAGACACGGUCCAGACUCCUACGGGAGGCAGCAGUAGGGAAUCUUCCGCAAUGGGCGAAAGCCUGACGGAGCAACGCCGCGUGAGUGAUGAAGGUCUUCGGAUCGUAAAACUCUGUUAUUAGGGAAGAACAAAUGUGUAAGUAACUAUGCACGUCUUGACGGUACCUAAUCAGAAAGCCACGGCUAACUACGUG